CCUACGGGGGGCUGCAGUGGGGAAUAUUGGACAAUGGGGGCAACCCUGAUCCAGCAAUGCCGCGUGAGUGAUGAAGGCCUUAGGGUUGUAAAGCUCUUUUACCAGGGAAGAUGAUGACUGUACCUGGAGAAUAAGCCCCGGCUAACUUCGUGCCAGCAGCCGCGGUAAUACGAAGGGGGCUAGCGUUGUUCGGAAUUACUGGGCGUAAAGGGCGCGUAGGCGGCCGUUUAAGUUAGGUGUGAAAGUCCUGGGCUCAACCUGGGGACUGCACUUAAUACUGGAUGGCUUGAAUUCGGGAGAGGAUAGCGGAAUUCCCAGUGUAGAGGUGAAAUUCGUAGAUAUUGGGAAGAACACCGGUGGCGAAGGCGGCUAUCUGGACCGACAUUGACGCUGAGGCGCGAAAGCGUGGGGAGCAAACAGGAUUAGAUACCCUGGUAGUC
rnacentral:rRNA from 1 species